AUUUACCUCUUUAAUGAAACCUAUUUUUGUGACUUUGAGCCUUGAAUGCUACUUUGAGAACAAAAACUUGGUUUAGUGCUAUUCUAGUCUUUUUCUCUUAGAAAAACUAAAGUAGGAAACAAAAUCCAAAACAGAUUAGAUUCCAUGAACAAAGGCAUCAAUGUCAGGCUGAGGAAGGUCAUCAAGCAACGAGUCAAUGCUACAUCCUUCCUCAAGCAGCUUCUCAUUGAAUCCAAAGUCAUCAGUAAACACACACUCCGGCACAAUCCUGUCUUGUCCGUAAAACUCAUCUUCCUUCUCCUUCUUCUUUUCCUCAACGGCCACAACAUCCUUCUUCAUGUUACUCUCUUUGCGUCUACUUCUUUCAGGAACAGAGGAAGACGACAAAACUCCCACAUCCAGACUCUUUAUGUAAUCCUGCAACAGAGAAGGUUUCAAGUCAGAAGAACCACUCAACUUUGAAAACCAAGAAGAAGAAACAGGGAGGGAGAUGGAAGAUGUUGGUUGAAAAAAAAAAUGAUAACCAAAGCCGCCUGAAGAAUCCUGUGACCACUUUUGGCCUAAGAAAAGUUUUUGUGUUUAUUGGUUCUGUAAUCUCUUGGUAUGUAUUCGAAUUUAUACCGAAGUAGGGGACCAGCUCUAUCAAUCAAAAACCAAACUUCAUUGUUGACAAAUACUUAGGCUCUCUCUAGGUAAAAGAAUCAUCAUAUCUUUUAGUGUUAAAAACAGCUACUACAAACUAAAAGAUAUGAUGAUUCUUUUACCUAGAGAGAGCCUAAGUAUUUGUCAACAAUGAAGUUUGGUUUUUGAUUGAUAGAGCUGGUCCCCUACAUGACUAUAGGCUCUCUCUAGGUAAAAGAAUCAUCAUAUACUUAGGCUCUCUCUAGGUAAAAGAAUCAUCAUAUACUUAGGCUCUCUCUAGGUUACAUUUACAUGACUAUAACAAAUAUGAUUGGUAUCGGUCCCAGUCUCUCAAUCAUGAAGAAGGUAAAGCUGAUGGAUUCAGGGUUAUUUGAAAGUUAGAGAUUUUGAUGUGGUCCUGAUUUUAGAAGAACAGCUAAAAUCUUGCCAUAUGGGUAUAUCACCUACCAUGAGGUAUAUUUUGUGUCAUCCACCACCAACUUGUUCAUAAUUUGUUUUUGAUUCUUCUAACUUCUUCUAUUAGUGUACAAAAUGGGGAUAGAGAAGGUGUUUUCUAUUAUUUACAUACGUUUUAUGUCUCUCUUCGAUUGUAAAGACUACUGAAGCAUUAGCAAAUUCACCCCUUUUAGGCUCUUCUUCUUUCCCAUCUGAAAAAAAUAUAAAGGAAUAAUACCCAUGCGGUGUCUACUACUUUCCUCACGGAAACAAUAAAAUGUAGUAAUUAUUUUUUUUGUUACAAAACAAUAUAUAUAUUAUCUCAA